AUAAGGUUGAAUGAAGGCAAGAAUAUUCUUAGCUCUGUUUAAGUCAAGACCUGAGUAGUAGCUCUACGUAGCUGUAUGUCGAUAAUGUUUUUGAGACAGCACUACUGAUAAAUUGUUACAUAAUAAACUGUUAUGGCUGGAUGCAGUGGCUCAUGCCCAUAAUCCCAGCACCUUGGGAGGCCGAAGUGAGUGGAUCACCUGAGGUCAGGAGUUCGAGACUAGCCUGAUCAAUAUGGUGAAAUCCCAUUUCUACUAAAAAAAUAAAAAUUAGCUGGGCAUGGUGGCGCACCUGUAAUCCCAGCUACUCAGGAGGCUGGGGCAGGAGGAUUGCUUGAACCCAGGAGACAGAGGUUGCAGUGAGCCGAGAUUGCGCCAUUGCACUCCAGCCUAGAAGACAGAGCGAGACUCCAUCUCAAAUAAAUAAACUGUUAAAUUAAGUUUAGCCUAAAGCUACCCCCUUACAUAUUUUAAGUUCAGUCUAAAGGUUUCCCUGCACAUAGUGAACUGUAACCUAACUGGAUGCGUAAACAGACUAUAACCUACUCUUGGGCCAGUCACUGAGUUUUGGUCAAUCAAAGGCAGCCAACUGUUCAAACCAGGUUAAAAUAAGGCAGAUGCUGAGCUCUAACCAGUCCAGCCAUUUCUGUACCUUGCUUCCAUUUUCUGUCCAUCACUUUCCCUUUUCUGUCCAUAAAUCUUCCACCACGUGGCUGUGCUGGAGCCACUGUGAAACUAUUCUGUUUCAGGGGCUGCCCAAUUCAUGAAUCAUUCCUUGCUCAAUUAAACUCUGUUCAUUUAAUUUGUCUAAUAUUUUUCUUUUAAUCAAAGUAAUUUGGCCGGGCACAGUGGCUCACGCCUGUAAUCCCAACACUUCGGGAGGCCGAGGUAGGUGGAUCACCUGAGGUCAAGGGUUCAAGACUAGCCUGGCCAACAUGGUGAAACCCCGUCUCUACUAAAAGUACAAAAAUUAGCCGGGUGUGGUGGCGGGCGCCUGUAAUCCCAGCUACUCGGGAGGCUGAGGGAGGAGAAUCGCUUGAACCCGGGAGGUGGAAGUUGCAGUGAGCUGAGAUUGUGCCAUUGCACUCCAGCUUGGGCGACAGGGCAAGACUCUGUCUCAAAAAAAAAAAAAAAAUUAAUUCAGAGACCUACUCAUGUGAAGUUGUAUUUUUUUAUUCUCCAUAUUACAAAACAGAACAAUUGGCACAGGGAUGAAGAAAUACUUUGCAAAACAUCUAGAGAGGUUAAAUGCCAUGAGUCUUUAAAAUGUAAGACUGCUUUCACCUGAGCAAUCUAGUGUCCAUUUCUAGAGCUAGCUUAAAUGUCCGUGUAAAUCCCCGUAAUUGGUUGGGAUAACAAUUACCUAUGUUGUAUAACUUGAGUCAAAAACUACGUUUCCACUGCCUGCCACCCCUAUGGAUGGUUUUCUCUUAAGGUAUCAAAUUUUACUGGGAAAGACCUAGAUAAAAUACAGCGAAAAUGAGGCGGGGCGUCCUGGCACAUGCCUGUAAUCCCAGCGCUUUGGGAGGCUGAGUCAGAAAGAUCUUUGAAUUCAGGAGUUCAAGACCAGCCUGGGCAAUAUAGUGAAAUCCUGUCUUUACAAAAAAUUAAAAAUUAGCCAGGCAUGGGGGCAUGGGCCUGUAGUCCCAGCUACUUGGGUUGGGUGACUGAUGUGGGAGGAUCACUUGAGCCCAGGAGGUUGAGGCUGCAGUGAGCUCUGACCAUGCCCCUGCACUCCAGCCUGGGUGACAGAGCAAGACCCAGUCUCAAAAAGAAAAGAAAAAGAGUAAUGUUAGGUCAAGGUAGAACCUACCUUGACUUUCUGUUACUAUGGAAGAUAUUCUGGGGUAUCUCUGAGAUCCAAGUAUUAUGGCACUUAAGUAAUUCCUAUCUAUUGUUCUACUUGGUUCCUCGGGAGUAAAAGUCAUAUUCAAACCAAAAAGGCUGUGGGAUUUCCAGAAUUUUAAAAGCAAUAAUAGUUAAUGUUCUCCCAUGGGAGUUACUCCACAUUUUUACAUAUGUUCCAUAUGUUAACUCAUUUAGACCUUACCUUUAUGAGGUAAGUCCUCUUCUUAUCCCCACUUUAGAGGUGGGAAAACUGAGGCACAGAAAGAGUAAGUUGCUUGCCUAAGGCCCUGUUACUAGCAGGUGGUGAAACCAGCAUUCCAACCCGGGAGUCUGGCAAAUGUGUGUGAAGAGCACACGUUUGGAAAUGACAGUCAUGAGGACACUGUAAGACUUCUGGAAUGUUUAUAAUUUCACCUUUGCUUGUUAUUUUUCCUGUCUGUUUCCCUAGAGUGAGCUGAGUGAAAAAAGAAAGAAGAAAGAAAGAAGAAAGAGAAAGAGAAAGAAAGGAGAG
rnacentral:lncRNA from 10 species